CCUACGGGAGGCAGCAGUGGGGAAUAUUGGACAAUGGGGGGAACCCUGAUCCAGCCAUGCCGCGUGUGUGAAGAAGGCCCUCGGGUUGUAAAGCACUUUCAGUGAGGAAGAACGCCUGGUGGUUAAUACCCAUCAGGAAAGACAUCACUCACAGAAGAAGCACCGGCUAACUCCGUGCCAGCAGCCGCGGUAAUACGGAGGGUGCGAGCGUUAAUCGGAAUUACUGGGCGUAAAGCGCGCGUAGGUGGCUUGAUAAGCCGGUUGUGAAAGCCCCGGGCUCAACCUGGGAACGGCAUCCGGAACUGUCAAGCUAGAGUGCAGGAGAGGAAGGUAGAAUUCCCGGUGUAGCGGUGAAAUGCGUAGAGAUCGGGAGGAAUACCAGUGGCGAAGGCGGCCUUCUGGACUGACAGUGCCACUGAGGUGCGAAAGCGUGGGUAGCAAACAGGAUUAGAUACCCCUGUAGUC
rnacentral:rRNA from 1 species